UCUGGUAACCGUCCAAACACACACAACACAUAUUUCACAUAGUGACCUAAUUCCUCAAUUAAUUACCAUAAUCAAGCUUAAAUUCAAUAUAAUUUCGAUCCUACAAUUAGGAUCAGAUCUAUGGAGAUGAUUAUUGACCAAAUUAAAGUUUUUUAAGAUCUUUUCAAGGUCAAUUUCGGUAUAUAUUUGACGGACCGAGUUCUGUAGGACAUUCUCGGCAUCUACUAAAUGUUCAGUAUUGAAUGCAUCCUUCCAUUAGUUUCUUCCCUACUUGGAUGUUUUAUCAAAAUCAGUUAUCGAGUAGUGUUGGAUCACGGGAAGAAUAUUUGGGUUGGAAAGCUUCAAAAUGUGAGUACACAUCGACGCUCUCUUUUUGCUAAUAGUUGACCAUUGGCUGGUAACUACAAAUGAAGGCAGCCAAAGAGUUUGAAUUCCUUGAUUUCCGUUGAUGUCAACGACCAUGACAAUUUAAGUCAGGCUAUUUAUUGGUUACUUUUCCUGGCGACAAGGAGGGAGGAUCAGUAUUUGAAAAUUGUCAAAAGUUAGGAUGUAAACAUCGUUGGCCAAAACUUCAUGAUAGGUUCUGGGGUAGUGUUUGAUCGCUAGAAGAAUUGACAAAUUGAACUUGUCCACUUCAUGUCAGGUUGAACUUUGUCACUUCUUAAAUAAAUUAAACGUCACAAUCUAUCUUUUGAAAGUAAGAGACCAGGGUCAACUUGGCGCACCCGUUUUGAUAUUUACUAGAUAAUUACCUAUCUUGUCACGAACCCAUAUUUACCUGUUGCCAAGCGGCCUAUGACACCCAUUUUGACACAUCUGCUUUUUGGUCGAUAGGUGCGAAUCUUAGUCAUUUCGUAUGAUAUGCUAUUUAGUUGCUAGUUUUAUAAAGAUUCCUUCCGAUUAUGUGACAUUCUUUGGUAAUGAGAAUGGAAAUGGUGUAAAACGUGUGGGUUGCUUACUUUUGAGAGCAUAGAUGUGGUGGAUAUCCCUGUCCUUUCACACUGAUGUCAUGCAUUAUAAAUAACCUUACACAUAGAUGGUCAUAGCAGAGGCAUGAAGGUUGGGUUUUCUUGGGUCAUGUAUUACAAGGUUUCAGCUUGAGAUGAUCCUUGACAGCCAGGGUGUUCCAUGGGUCAAUAGUCAAUACGCCACUCUCUAUGCCCAGCAUCUCUUUACUCAUACAAAGAGAACCACCAAUUGUUGCUCCAAAGCCACUUUGUAUAUGUCUCGAGUUUGUCAGCCGGGUUUAUGAAUUAUGAUACAUCAUCUCAGCCGGAUUGGUAGAAACAAGAGUACAACUUGGAAGCUGCGGAGAAGUUGGCCAGGUGGAUCGGGAUCCGGUUUUCCUCCAUAGGGAUAAAAGGAGGGAAGAUUUCAACCUAAAAAUUUCAUGGUGUUUAAGCAAGAAUGGGUUAUAGGCCAUUGGGAUCAGAGCUAUGGGGAUGAUUAAAGGCCAGAUUAUUAGGUUUUUUGGAGUGGAAUCUGGUUAAACAGAGGCUGUGUUUGGUUCGAAAGUUGUUAUCCUCCAUUAAAGUUGAUUUCAAAUCUUUUCGAGGUCAAUUUCGGUACUAUUCUCUUCAGCCCUAAGCUGUGAUUUUAUAUCAGUUCCAUUGAGAAAGUGUUUCCACUCGUUUAUAUUGAUUAAUUCACUCAAAACACCAUUGCUUUGUGAAUUUAAUUGCUGAAAAUUCAAUUAGUUUUGUGAUUUGGGUUCUCGAAA